AGCUUUUUCGGCAGGGAAGAUUAUGACGGUACCUGCAGAAGCAGCUGCGGCUAACUACGUGCCAGCAGCCGCGGUAAUACGUAGGCAGCGAGCGUUGUUCGGAGUUACUGGGCGUAAAGGGUGUGUAGGCGGUCUUCUAAGUUUGGUGUGAAUCUCCCGGCUCAACUGGGAGGGUGCGCCGAAUACUGAAAGACUAGAGUGCGGGAGAGGAUAGUGGAAUUCCUGGUGUAGCGGUGAAAUGCGUAGAUAUCAGGAGGAACACCGGUGGUGUAGACGGCUAUCUGGACCGUAACUGACGCUGAGACACGAAAGCGUGGGUAGCAAACAGGAUUAGAUACCCUGGUAGUCCACGCCCUAAACGAUGCAUAUUUGGUGUGGGCAGUUCAGUCUGUCCGUGCCGGAGCUAACGCGUUAAAUAUGCCGCCUGGGGAGUACAGUCGCAAGGCUGAAACUCAAAGGAACUGACGGGGGCCCGCACAAGCGGUGGAACAUGUGGUUCAAUUCGACGCAACGCGAAGAACCUUACCUGGGCUUGAACCGCUACUGACCAACGGUAGAAAUAUCGUCUUCCCGCAAGGGACAGUAGUAGAGGUGCUGCAUGGCUGUCGUCAGCUCGUGCCGUGAGGUGUUGGGUUAAGUCCCGCAACGAGCGCAACCCUUAUUCGUAGUUGCCACCCGCAAGGGGGAACUCUACGAGGACUGCUCCGGAUAACGGAGAGGAAGGUGGGGAUGACGUCAAGUCAGCACGGCCUUUAUGUCCAGGGCUACACACGUGUUACAAUGCGCGGCACAGACUGUUGCGAACCCGCGAGGGGGAGCUAAUCGGAAAAAACCGCGCUCAGUUCGGAUUGCAGUCUGCAACUCGACUGCAUGAAGCUGGAAUCGCUAGUAAUGGCGUAUCAGAUCGACGCCGUGAAUACGUUCCCGGGCCUUGUACACACCGCCCGUCACAUCACGAAAGUGAGCUGUACUAGAAGUCGCCCAGCCAACCGUAAGGAGGCAGGCGCCCAAGGUAUGGCCCAUGAUUGGGGUGAAGUCGUAACAAGGUA
rnacentral:rRNA from 1 species